rnacentral:rRNA from 1 species
CCUACGGGGUGCAGCAGUGGGGAAUAUUGCACAAUGGGCGCAAGCCUGAUGCAGCCAUGCCGCGUGUAUGAAGAAGGCCUUCGGGUUGUAAAGUACUUUCAGCGGGGAGGAAGGCGAAAAGGUUAAUAACCUUGUCGAUUGACGUUACCCGCAGAAGAAGCACCGGCUAACUCCGUGCCAGCAGCCGCGAUAAUACGGAGGGUGCAAGCGUUAAUCGGAAUUACUGGGCGUAAAGCGCACGCAGGCGGUCUGUCAAGUCGGAUGUGAAAUCCCCGGGCUCAACCUGGGAACUGCAUUCGAAACUGGCAGGCUGGAGUCCUGUAGAGGGGGGUAGAAUUCCAGGUGUAGCGGUGAAAUGCGUAGAGAUCUGGAGGAAUACCGGUGGCGAAGGCGGCCCCCUGGACAGAGGCUGACGCUCAGGUGCGAAAGCGUGGGGAGCAAACAGGAUUAGAUACCCCGGUAGUC